rnacentral:lncRNA from 1 species
AGUUUUAUAACCAUACUAAACAUAAUAUGCCUGUAGCGACGUUCUUCAGGCGUCGUAGCGUUAUGACAAACUGUCACCCCAAAGGAAGGACUAUAGCUAACAGUCAGGGCGCGGGAUCAUGACUUCCCGUAUAGAUCUAUACACAUUUGACACGUUCUCCGAACGGGAGACUCUGGUUAUAGACAGGACUUGAAGCGGUACCUUUUAGCAAAAAGGCAGUAUUUGAAGAUGUACAUGUCUCACGGAUUCUCAACUAAGUCUGUAUUAAAGUAAUAGUUUUGUAUGCAAAGUUUAUCCUUUUCACAAUGUUUGACAAAGCAUAAAUCAUAAGUUCUUUGAAUGUAUAAAACGGUUUAGUAACGAUGGUUACCCUUGAUAUGAUGUAUUUGUAUGUAAAUGUAUAAAUAAAACAUAUUUCUAUUUAUAAAACAUAUUGUAUCCCAAGAGGGUAAAGCUGUGUUGUGAGGUGUUUUGCAUGAUAAUGACUUCAUAAGAUAGUUAAAACAACAGUAUGAAAAGUAUAGCAAAAGAUCGAUGUUUCACACGAUUUUAGUCGUGUGUUUACUUGUAUUCCCCCCCUUAAAAGUGUAUAAAAGCAUUUACAAAACAUUUGAAAGUGUAGAUUAUAGGGGUAUGAACUCACUUGAUUGAUUGGGGAAAACGAGAAGAAAAUGGAGCAGAACUUCGGCUCGUGAAAGUCGAUUUUCCUCGGGAUUCUNNNNNNNNNNNNNNNNNNNNNNNNNNNNNNNNNNNNNNNNNNNNNNNNNNNNNCGGGGCCCUUGAUUUGAGUACGCGGGGCGUACGAGGGUACGCAGGGCGUACCUCGGUCCUAUCUGCUGACUCCUCUUCGGAUAUUACUAAGGGUUUAUAUUUAAAUUUAUAUUUAUUUUAAAUAAACUUCUAAAAUUCAUAUCUCCUUCAUACGAACUCCAUUUUCGACGUUCUUUAAAUCCCCGCAUAGGUGAGACUAAGAUCUACAACUUUCGUUUACACUCCGAUGGCAAAUUAUGAAAUUAUUUUUAUUAUUUAUUUAUUAAAAUGACGUGAUUAAGGAAUUUUUUUAAAAAUUCAUAACUUCUUUAUCUGACGUCGGUUUUUGCCAGACUUUUUACCGCUGAAAUACCAUUGUCGAGACCUUCGAUUCUCGUUUAGGUCAUUCCGGCCAAAAGUCGCUCGAUCUCCGAUUCGAGUUUUUACGUAACUUCGUAUUGCCGGUUUUUGUCGGAAAACUUAGAAUGGUCAUAACUUCUUCGUUAUAACUCGGAUUUUAGUGUUCUUUAUAUGCUUGGAAACCUUAAGACGAUAUCUAUUACAUAGCGUACUCCAAACAGAGCCUUUGAAUACUUCAUUUUUCGAUGAUAUUCUAAUUACUUUUUCAAAGAGGUUACAAGACUCGAAUUUCAAGGACCUGAAAUGACGGGUUGUUACAUCAUCCCCCCGUUAGAGGGAAUUUCGUCCCGAAAUUAGAGUUCAUGCUACGGAUAGAAGUUUUAUUUGCUCCUCAUGUUCUUAAUUGAACUCGGUUCCUCGCUUGGCAUUCCAGCGAACCUUUCACUAUCGGGAUACGACUUUGCUUCCUUCGUUUGACUUCACUGGCAUGAUAACCCUUCUUGGUCGAACGUAUGUUGAAUGUUUUUGUGGACUGUGAGAGUAGUACAUCUUGUACCCUACGAGUAGUGUCUCCAGAUCUUCGAAGUAAUUACUGAUGCUCCUGACUCAAGAUCAUGUGUUGUAUAGUUAACUUCCUGUGUCUUGAGUUGUCUUGGGGUAUAGGCAGUGACCUUUCCUUUUGCAUGAGAACACAACCAAUUCAUACUGAUUAUGAUGUCAAAAUCUUGGAAGUGGAUUAGAUGUCAUGAAGAUCUAAAAGAAAAUAUGAUUACUCCCGAAUUAAGGAAACAUGAUGGGUAUUUUUGUUCUAUCUGUCUCUCUCUUGUACCAAUCGACAGAAAGGGGUAUGUCUUGCGCUUCUAAGUUUAUUUGUAUGGCAGCACGAUCACUCGUAGUCUUAUGCAGUCUCCGUCCUGAAGUUCAUAUUAGAAAUUCAUACAUGGUUCAACGAUCAUAAUCUCGUGUAUAUGAGUUGUAUAUAAUUAAGAUUGAAAAGGUAGUCGAAUAACUGAUUCUUCUUUAAGCUCACAUCCCAUCGAGGAAAAAGAAGUUAAAGUGGAAUCAUCAAUUCUAAACCUGUAGAACCUUGAUUAUAUAUCACCCCUACGUAUACAUUCAUCAGUGACAGAUCAACCGUAUGGAUCUUUGGAUUUGAACUUGACGUACUGUACGAGUGGCACUUCAGGGAUUUCUUCGGAGAGGGAAAGAAUUAUGAGGUACUCCAUUCAUGAGUAAUUGGUGUUCUGAUAUGACGGUUUCGCUGGAAAGGCGAUUUCGAAGAAAGAGAUGUACAUGUGAAACUGUUUUUUGUGAGAAUCAAAUUGAAUCAAGUCGUAUGAUAAUGUCAGAAUCAUAAGGAAACUUAAAGACAUUAGAUUUGAACAUAAGACGUUUACCGACAAAACACAACCGUGCAACCAUCAACAGAGUUACAGUACUUUAGACUACUACAAGACUAUUGCUGCAAAUAAGGUAUACUACAAAGGCAAGUAUACGCAGCAUGAGUAUCCCUAUACUGACGGGAUCCCGCAAAAGACAAGGCUCUGGUUGCACUAGUUUUGGAUGGUUUAUAAGUCUGUUACAACGAAACGUCUAAAUUACAUUAAUGUGGGUUCGGAGUAGGUUCUCCUGCAACUGUGGUCCUGAGAAUCCUACCGUCUAUGCCAGAAUUCUUUGUGAUAGGGCAAUCGUUCAACAUCCAAUGGCGGUGCUGUUGCUAGGCCGUUUUUCUUCCGGUCAAGUCCACCGCCUUUCAUGCCUAAAUACAUACUAUCAAAUUCCUCCGAAUCGAAAUCCUCCAGCAAUCCUUCUUGAGGUGCCCUCGUCUCCUCGCGUUGGUGGCAUGACCGGCUAGUGCUAGCCUUAGUGGUGGGAGUGAGAUGUUUAGCCAGUGUUAUGUGGACACGAGUGCCUUCCUCAAUACCCCACCUUGGAAAUUGCUUCCUAAGGCGUUCUGCAGGAGUUGCCACUUGUUGUGGCAUGGCAAGUCUUUGGGAUCUCUUGCGCUCCUUUAGGGCUUGCUUAUGUUGCCUAAUUUGAUGUGUGUAAGGAAGGUUGUCACAGCAGUUGCUACUGCAGCUUGUAAUAGUUUUGUAUGCAAAGUUUAUCCUUUUCACAAUGUUUGACAAAGCAUAAAUCAAAAGUUCUUUGAAUGUAUAAAAUGGUUUAGUAACGAUGGUUACCCUUGAUAUGAUGUAUUUGUAUGUAAAUGUAUAAAUAAAACAUAUUUCUAUUUAUAAAACAUAUUGUAUCCCAAGAGGGUAAAGUUGUGUUGUGAGGUGUUUUGCAUGAUAAUGACUUCAUAAGAUAGUUAAAACAACAGUAUGAAAAGUAUAGUAAAAGAUCGAUGUUUCAC